rnacentral:rRNA from 1 species
GACGAACGCUGGCGGCGCGCCUAAUACAUGCAAGUAGAACGCUGAAGAGAGGAGCUUGCUCUUCUUGGAUGAGUUGCGAACGGGUGAGUAACGCGUAGGUAACCUGCCUUGUAGCGGGGGAUAACUAUUGGAAACGAUAGCUAAUACCGCAUAACAAUGGAUGACACAUGUCAUUUAUUUGAAAGGGGCAAUUGCUCCACUACAAGAUGGACCUGCGUUGUAUUAGCUAGUAGGUGAGGUAACGGCUCACCUAGGCGACGAUACAUAGCCGACCUGAGAGGGUGAUCGGCCACACUGGGACUGAGACACGGCCCAGACUCCUACGGGAGGCAGCAGUAGGGAAUCUUCGGCAAUGGGGGCAACCCUGACCGAGCAACGCCGCGUGAGUGAAGAAGGUUUUCGGAUCGUAAAGCUCUGUUGUAAGUCAAGAACGAGUGUGAGAGUGGAAAGUUCACACUGUGACGGUAGCUUACCAGAAAGGGACGGCUAACUACGUGCCAGCAGCCGCGGUAAUACGUAGGUCCCGAGCGUUGUCCGGAUUUAUUGGGCGUAAAGCGAGCGCAGGCGGUUUGAUAAGUCUGAAGUUAAAGGCUGUGGCUCAACCAUAGUUCGCUUUGGAAACUGUCAAACUUGAGUGCAGAAGGGGAGAGUGGAAUUCCAUGUGUAGCGGUGAAAUGCGUAGAUAUAUGGAGGAACACCGGUGGCGAAAGCGGCUCUCUGGUCUGUAACUGACGCUGAGGCUCAAAAGCGUGGGGAGCGAACAGG